UACCCUGAACGGUGGAUCACUUGGCUCGUGGGUCGAUGAAGAACGCAGCUAAUGCGCGUCACAUGCGA
rnacentral:rRNA from 1 species